rnacentral:rRNA from 1 species
UACGUAGGGUGCGAGCGUUAAUCGGAAUUACUGGGCGUAAAGCGUGCGCAGGCGGGCUUUUAAGCCAGACGUGAAAUCCCCGGGCUCAACCUGGGAACUGCAUUUGUGACUGCAUCGCUGGAGUGCGGCAGAGGGGGAUGGAAUUCCGCGUGUAGCAGUGAAAUGCGUAGAUAUGCGGAGGAACACCGAUGGCGAAGGCAAUCCCCUGGGCCUGCACUGACGCUCAUGCACGAAAGCGUGGGGAGCAAACAGG